rnacentral:rRNA from 1 species
UACAGAGGUCUCGAGCGUUUGUUCGGAUUCAUUGGGCGUAAAGGGUGCGUAGGUGGCGCUGUAAGUCAGGUGUGAAAUUUCGGAGCUUAACUCCGAAACUGCAUUUGAUACUGCGGUGCUUGAGGACUGGAGAGGAGACUGGAAUUUACGGUGUAGCAGUGAAAUGCGUAGAGAUCGUAAGGAAGACCAGUGGCGAAGGCGGGUCUCUG